UACGUAGGGGGCAAGCGUUGUCCGGAAUCAUUGGGCGUAAAGAGCGUGUAGGCGGCCUGACAGGUCUGCUGUGAAAACUCGAGGCUCAACCUCGAGAUGUCGGCGGAAACCGUCUGGCUAGAGUCCGGAAGAGGAGAGUGGAAUUCCUGGUGUAACGGUGAAAUGCGCGGAUAUCAGGAAGAACACCUAUGGCGAAGGCAGCUCUCUGGGACGGUACUGACGCUGAGACGCGAAAGCGUGGGGAGCGAACAGG
rnacentral:rRNA from 1 species